rnacentral:rRNA from 1 species
UUCCAGACUCCUACGGGAGGCAGCAGUGAGGAAUAUUGGUCAAUGGGCGAGAGCCUGAACCAGCCAAGUCGCGUGAGGGAAGACGGUCCUAUGGAUUGUAAACCUCUUUUGCCGGGGAGCAAAAAGCGGUACGUGUACCGCAUCGAGAGUACCCGGAGAAAAAGCAUCGGCUAACUCCGUGCCAGCAGCCGCGGUAAUACGGAGGAUGCGAGCGUUAUCCGGAUUUAUUGGGUUUAAAGGGUGCGCAGGCGGCGAGUUAAGUCAGCGGUAAAAAUGCGGUGCUCAACGCCGUACAGCCGUUGAAACUGGCAGUCUUGAGUGGGCGAGAAGUAUGCGGAAUGCGUGGUGUAGCGGUGAAAUGCAUAGAUAUCACGCAGAACUCCGAUUGCGAAGGCAGCAUACCGGCGCCCAACUGACGCUGAAGCACGAAAGCGUGGGUAUCGACCAGGAUUAGAUACCCGCGUAAU